rnacentral:rRNA from 1 species
CGAGUGGCGGACGGGUGAGGAAUACAUCGGAAUCUACUCUGUCGUGGGGGAUAACGUAGGGAAACUUACGCUAAUACCGCAUACGACCUACGGGUGAAAGCAGGGGAUCUUCGGACCUUGCGCGAUUGAAUGAGCCGAUGUCGGAUUAGCUAGUUGGCGGGGUAAAGGCCCACCAAGGCGACGAUCCGUAGCUGGUCUGAGAGGAUGAUCAGCCACACUGGAACUGAGACACGGUCCAGACUCCUACGGGAGGCAGCAGGG